CCUUUGACGUUAGCGGCGGACGGGUGAGUAACACGUGGGUAACCUACCUAUAAGACUGGGAUAACUUCGGGAAACCGGAGCUAAUACCGGAUAAUAUUUCGAACCGCAUGGUUCGAUAGUGAAAGAUGGUUUUGCUAUCACUUAUAGAUGGACCCGCGCCGUAUUAGCUAGUUGGUAAGGUAACGGCUUACCAAGGCGACGAUACGUAGCCGACCUGAGAGGGUGAUCGGCCACACUGUAACUGAGACACGGUCCAGACUCCUACGGGAGGCAGCAGCG
rnacentral:rRNA from 1 species